rnacentral:rRNA from 1 species
GGGUUGUGAGGUUAAGCGACUAAGCGUACACGGUGGAUGCCCUGGCAGUCAGAGGCGAUGAAGGACGUGCUAAUCUGCGAAAAGCGUCGGUAAGGUGAUAUGAACCGUUAUAACCGGCGAUGUCCGAAUGGGGAAACCCAGUGCAAUUCGUUGCACUAUCGUUAACUGAAUACAUAGGUUAACGAGGCGAACCGGGGGAACUGAAACAUCUAAGUACCCCGAGGAAAAGAAAUCAACCGAGAUUCCCCCAGUAGCGGCGAGCGAACGGGGAGCAGCCCAGAGUCUGAAUCAGCUUGUGUGUUAGUGGAACGGUCUGGAAAGUCCGACGGUACAGGGUGAUAGUCCCGUACACCAAAAUGCACAGGUUGUGAACUCGAAGAGUAGGGCGGGACACGUGGUAUCCUGUCUGAAUAUGGGGGGACCAUCCUCCAAGGCUAAAUACUCCUGACUGACCGAUAGUGAACCAGUACCGUGAGGGAAAGGCGAAAAGAACCCCGGCGAGGGGAGUGAAAAAGAACCUGAAACCGUGUACGUACAAGCAGUGGGAGCACCUUCGGGUGUGACUGCGUACCUUUUGUAUAAUGGGUCAGCGACUUAUAUUCUGUAGCAAGGUUAACCGUAUAGGGGAGCCGCAGGGAAACCGAGUCUUAACUGGGCGUUAAGUUGCAGGGUAUAGACCCGAAACCCGGUGAUCUAGCCAUGGGCAGGUUGAAGGUUGGGUAACACUAACUGGAGGACCGAACCGACUAAUGUUGAAAAAUUAGCGGAUGACUUGUGGCUGGGGGUGAAAGGCCAAUCAAACCGGGAGAUAGCUGGUUCUCCCCGAAAGCUAUUUAGGUAGCGCCUCGUGAAUUCAUCUUCGGGGGUAGAGCACUGUUUCGGCUAGGGGGUCAUCCCGACUUACCAACCCGAUGCAAACUACGAAUACCGAAGAAUGUUAUCACGGGAGACACACGGCGGGUGCUAACGUCCGUCGUGAAGAGGGAAACAACCCAGACCGCCAGCUAAGGUCCCAAAGUCAUGGUUAAGUGGGAAACGAUGUGGGAAGGCACAGACAGCCAGGAUGUUGGCUUAGAAGCAGCCAUCAUUUAAAGAAAGCGUAAUAGCUCACUGGUCGAGUCGGCCUGCGCGGAAGAUGUAACGGGGCUAAACCAUGCACCGAAGCUGCGGCAGCGACACUAUGUGUUGUUGGGUAGGGGAGCGUUCUGUAAGCCUGCGAAGGUGUGCUGUGAGGCAUGCUGGAGGUAUCAGAAGUGCGAAUGCUGACAUAAGUAACGAUAAAGCGGGUGAAAAGCCCGCUCGCCGGAAGACCAAGGGUUCCUGUCCAACGUUAAUCGGGGCAGGGUGAGUCGACCCCUAAGGCGAGGCCGAAAGGCGUAGUCGAUGGGAAACAGGUUAAUAUUCCUGUACUUGGUGUUACUGCGAAGGGGGGACGGAGAAGGCUAUGUUAGCCGGGCGACGGUUGUCCCGGUUUAAGCAUGUAGGCUGAUUGUCCAGGCAAAUCCGGAUAAUCAAGGCUGAGGUGUGAUGACGAGGCACUACGGUGCUGAAGUAACAAAUGCCCUGCUUCCAGGAAAAGCCUCUAAGCAUCAGGUAACAUUAAAUCGUACCCCAAACCGACACAGGUGGUCAGGUAGAGAAUACCAAGGCGCUUGAGAGAACUCGGGUGAAGGAACUAGGCAAAAUGGUGCCGUAACUUCGGGAGAAGGCACGCUGGUGUGUAGGUGAAGUCCCUGCGGAUGGAGCUGAGACCAGUCGAAGAUACCAGCUGGCUGCAACUGUUUAUUAAAAACACAGCACUGUGCAAACACGAAAGUGGACGUAUACGGUGUGACGCCUGCCCGGUGCCGGAAGGUUAAUUGAUGGGGUUAUCCGUAAGGAGAAGCUCUUGAUCGAAGCCCCGGUAAACGGCGGCCGUAACUAUAACGGUCCUAAGGUAGCGAAAUUCCUUGUCGGGUAAGUUCCGACCUGCACGAAUGGCGUAAUGAUGGCCAGGCUGUCUCCACCCGAGACUCAGUGAAAUUGAACUCGCUGUGAAGAUGCAGUGUACCCGCGGCAAGACGGAAAGACCCCGUGAACCUUUACUAUAGCUUGACACUGAACAUUGAGCCUUGAUGUGUAGGAUAGGUGGGAGGCUUUGAAGCGUGGACGCCAGUCUGCGUGGAGCCAACCUUGAAAUACCACCCUUUAAUGUUUGAUGUUCUAACGUUGGCCCCUGACCGGGGUUGCGGACAGUGUCUGGUGGGUAGUUUGACUGGGGCGGUCUCCUCCCAAAGCGUAACGGAGGAGCACGAAGGUUAGCUAAUCCUGGUCGGACAUCAGGAGGUUAGUGCAAUGGCAUAAGCUAGCUUGACUGCGAGCGUGACGGCGCGAGCAGGUGCGAAAGCAGGUCAUAGUGAUCCGGUGGUUCUGAAUGGAAGGGCCAUCGCUCAACGGAUAAAAGGUACUCCGGGGAUAACAGGCUGAUACCGCCCAAGAGUUCAUAUCGACGGCGGUGUUUGGCACCUCGAUGUCGGCUCAUCACAUCCUGGGGCUGAAGUAGGUCCCAAGGGUAUGGCUGUUCGCCAUUUAAAGUGGUACGCGAGCUGGGUUUAGAACGUCGUGAGACAGUUCGGUCCCUAUCUGCCGUGGGCGCUGGAGAAUUGAGGGGGGCUGCUCCUAGUACGAGAGGACCGGAGUGGACGCAUCACUGGUGUUCGGGUUGUCAUGCCAAUGGCACUGCCCGGUAGCUAAAUGCGGAAGAGAUAAGUGCUGAAAGCAUCUAAGCACGAAACUUGCCCCGAGAUGAGUUCUCCCUGAGACUUUAAGUCUCCUGAAGGAACGUUGAAGACGACGACGUUGAUAGGCCGGGUGUGUAAGCGCAGCGAUGCGUUGAGCUAACCGGUACUAAUGAACCGUGAGGCUUAACCUUACAACGCCGAAG